GGAGUGUGGGCACUGACCUCCUCUCAGUCCCAACCCAUGACACUCAGCAGCCGCUUUCUGUUGCUCUCCAGAUAACCCAGAUUUCUCCAUUUUGUAGUAAGCAGAUCAAGAAAAAGAAAUCUCAAGUAAUCCUUUGAGCAAAAGGGGGACUGGAGACUCAUCUCGUGCACAGACCCCUCUGGACCCCAUCAGGCUUGAUGGCAAUGAAGGUGCGCUCGGUGAUAGAAGCCAUCAUCCUAAUGAGGAAGGGAAUAAAAGGUGUUAUUCUAGGAUCAGCAAGCAAAUACAGUCACAGCCCUGUGUCCUGCAUAGCAUCAGCUCUCGUUAGAACCAUACUGUCUGCAUCUGAAGGUCAGUAACCCGGGAUCUGCACCGGUUUGACAGUCACUCACUCUGCGUGGGUUUACACAAGUGCUACACAAGGAAGUUUAAAACGAUGACAAUGUGGCAAGCCUGCAAUUAGCAAGUAUUAAAGCAGAAUGUAUGGUAAGGACUGUCACAGAUACAGCUCCAAAUGCCGCCCGGGACGCUCUCACCUGCGAUUUCGGGCAAAGGAGGUUGAAUAAGUCCCUAUGUGUAACUUUGA